rnacentral:rRNA from 1 species
AGUGAACGCUGGCGGUAGGCCUAACACAUGCAAGUCGAACGGCAGCACAGUAAGAGCUUGCUCUUACGGGUGGCGAGUGGCGGACGGGUGAGGAAUACAUCGGAAUCUACUUUUUCGUGGGGGAUAACGUAGGGAAACUUACGCUAAUACCGCAUACGACCUACGGGUGAAAGCAGGGGAUCUUCGGACCUUGCGCGAAUGAAUGAGCCGAUGUCGGAUUAGCUAGUUUGCGGGGUAAAGGCCCACCAAGGCGACGAUCCGUAGCUGGUCUGAGAGGAUGAUCAGCCACCCUGGAACUGUAACACGGUCCAGACUACUACGGGAGGCAGCAGUGGGGAAUAUUGGACUAUGGGCGCAAGCCUGAUCCAGCCAUACCGCGUGGGUGAAAAAGACCUUCGGGUUGUAAAGCCCUUUUGUUGGGAAAGAAAAGCAGCAGGUUAAUACCCCGCUGUUCUGACGGUACCCAAAGAAUAAGCACCGGCUAACUUCGUG